GUCGAGGUCACUCUCCGGGAUCACCAGCAGCGCUCUGCACUGAUGCCCUUUCUCUGGGAGAGAGGGAGACAUUCCUUUAAUGCCAGAACAAGAAGCACUUUACAGAUGAGAAAUGAUAAGAAAGAGGAACUCAUCAAUUUGCAGAUGACAGCAUGCUGGCCAACACUCCAGAAGAUAGGCUCAAUAUACAGAAAAAUUCAACAGCUGGGAACACUGGGCCCUAUCUAACAAAAUGAAAUUCAGAGAAGAUUUUGAAGAUUUGAGUACAAUUGAAACCAGAGGCAUCUACAGUAAUGGUUGACUGGAAAUCCCUAACAGGCCAAAGGAAAACCAAAAGAGGAUAAUGUUUUAAUGAACUGGCAAUAUAGCCACUACAAGAUGUUAUCGCAAUGGAUAUAUGAUCAGUAGUAGCAGUAGCAUAAAAAUAUCGUAACUUAUCUGAACUGUUAACUUAACAAGAGUCUCCUAAAUAAUAUUGCU